ensembl:lncRNA
GAAAUUAGAAGCUCCAGGCUGGACACUGGAAGCCCCAGACUGGACAUUGGAAGCCCCAGGCUGGACAUUGGAAGCCCCAGGCUGGACAUUGGAAGCCCCAGGCUGGACAUUGGAAGCCCCAGGCUGGACAUUGGAAGCCCCAGGCUGGACAUUGGAAGCCCCAGACUGGACAUUGGAAGCUCCAGGCUAGACAUUAGAAGCUCCAAUCUGGACACUGGAAGCCCCAGGCUGGACACUGGAAGCUCCAAUCUGGACAUUAGAAGCCCCAAUCUGGACAUUAGAAGCCCCAAUCUGGACAUUAGAAGCCCCAGACUGGACAUUAGAAGCUCCAUUCUGGACAUUGGGAAGCUCCAGGCAGGAC